CUAGGGACUAAACAUUAGUCCCUAGAAACCAAACACCCCAUUAAUCUCUCGUGAAGUCGUGUUCGCGUGGAACUGGUACAGAACACUUCGCUUCCUGGAAGGCUGGAACAGAAAGAACCCUAAACCCUAGCAAUGGCGGCGGCGAACCUGCUGUCGCGCUCCCUUCUCCCCACCCCAAACACUAUCCGAACGAGCCACCCCACCCCGCGGAGCCCAGCCGUCGUCUCCUUCCCCCGCCGCCGUGCCCGCCUGUCCGUGUGCGCCUCCGUCUCCAUGGCCUCCCCGUCCCCACCGCCACAGCCCGCGGCGGCCGGCGUGCCGAAGCACUGCUUCCGGCGCGGCGCCGACGGCUACCUGUACUGCGAGGGAGUGAGGGUGGAAGACGCGAUGGCGGCUGCCGAGCGCAGCCCCUUCUAUCUCUACAGCAAGCUUCAGAUCCUCCGCAACUUCGCCGCUUACCGCGACGCUCUCCAGGGGCUCCGCUCCAUCGUCGGGUAUGCCGUGAAGGCCAACAAUAACCUCCCCGUGCUACGCGUCCUGCGUGAGCUUGGCUGCGGCGCCGUCCUCGUCAGCGGCAACGAGCUCCGACUCGCCCUCCAGGCGGGAUUCGACCCCGCCAGGUGUAUAUUUAACGGAAAUGGGAAGACACUCGAAGAUCUUAAAUUGGCUGCUGAGAGUGGAGUAUUUGUAAAUGUGGAUAGUGAAUUUGAUUUAGAGAAUAUUGUCAGAGCUGCAAGAGCUACUGGAAAGAAAGUGCCUGUUUUACUUAGAAUAAAUCCAGAUGUGGAUCCACAGGUACAUCCAUAUGUUGCCACGGGAAAUAAAACAUCCAAAUUCGGGAUCCGCAAUGAGAAAUUGCAAUGGUUUUUGAACUCUAUCAAGUCAUACUCGAAUGAAAUCAAACUCGUUGGUGUUCAUUGCCAUCUGGGAUCUACUAUUACAAAGGUUGAUAUAUUCAGAGAUGCUGCAGUGCUUAUGGUGAAUUAUGUCGAUGAAAUUCGAGCACAAGGUUUUAAGUUGGAGUACCUGAAUAUUGGAGGUGGUUUGGGAAUAGAUUACCAUCAUACCGAUGCAGUCUUACCUACACCUAUGGAUCUCAUCAACACUGUACGAGAAUUAGUUCUCUCUCAAGAUCUUACUCUUAUUAUUGAACCUGGAAGAUCCUUGAUUGCUAAUACUUGCUGCUUCGUCAAUAGAGUAACUGGUGUUAAAUCUAAUGGUACAAAGAAUUUCAUUGUUGUUGAUGGCAGCAUGGCAGAACUCAUCAGACCUAGCCUGUAUGGAGCAUAUCAGCAUAUCGAAUUGGUCUCUCCCCCCACUCCUGGUGCUGAAGUAGCGACCUUCGAUAUUGUUGGGCCAGUUUGUGAGUCUGCAGAUUUCCUUGGAAAAGAUAGGGAACUUCCAACACCUGAUGAGGGAGCUGGACUGGUUGUUCAUGAUGCAGGUGCCUACUGCAUGAGCAUGGCUUCCACCUACAACCUGAAGUUGAGGCCGCCAGAGUACUGGGUACACACUACAAUUCAUAUUUGGUGCCCAUUGGGGUCUGGCGCCUCAUUAACUAAAAUAUCAUGUUGCAAUAUUUCAAAAGACCAUUAACAUAAAUCAUGUCCAAACACGCCUUAUAUGGUAUCUGUUCGUUUGCAAUUAAAGCCAGCCGUUCAGGCUGCAGCUGCUGCCAACUGAAGACACAACACUGUAGGAAUGAUAGAAUUCAGCAGCAGCAGCGUUGUAAAGAAGUCAACCUAACAUGCCUAAAAAAAUAAGCAGUCAACCUGUCACUGUUCAUCAUGUGCAGACAGUGACACUUAUUUUUUGAAUCUCAACAUCAAAGAUGAAUUUCAAACUGAAUUGUUUCAGCUACACUUAACUUUAGGUACUACAUAAAUCAUUUUUUUGAAACAUUGCAACAUGAUUUUUUUAGCUAAUAAAGAGGGCGCCAGCCUCCCUCUGUGUGUGUGUGUGUGUUUGGGGUGGGGGACAUACUGGCAUACUGCCACCUACUUUCCCUUUUUCUCGUGAUUAUUUUGUAGGAAAAAUGGAAAAAGCCACUGCAAGCUAGGGAAUUUCAAUUACUUACCUGGAUAUUGCUUCCUUAGAGCAACUAUAGCAGUUUUGGGGGUUGAUUCUAAGAAAUGAGUCCAUCAGGGCUGCAAACCCCAUUGCUCCUGAGUCCUGUUGAGGGCUGAGGAGCCUACUGUUGGUAGCUUAGACGAGCUUAAAGGAACCAAGCCUGGCAAGGCUUGAGGUCGUAGAACAUGUAAGUCAAGAAGGUGAAGGGGAUCAUGUAAAAGAGCUUGACAACCUGCACAUUCUAUGUGUUUGAAAUACCCACUCUGCCUAUUGCCAUCCAAUGUUUUUCAGAGUUCUGCAUGUUAACCAUCGAAAGCAACUUGGAUAUGAAAACGCAUAAAGCUUGCAGGUGGUAGACUAACCGUUGAAGAGGAUGGUUCGAUUGUUAAGAUCAGGCAUGAAGAGAAGCUCGAUGACUACAUGAAGUUCUUUGAUGGUCUUCCUGCUUAGAUGUUUAUUUGUGACUGCUAGGGGCGAUGUUUUCUUGGAGAUAAUUGAAUUUUUCUUUGUCAAGCUCAUUUUGCUUUCUUGUGGUUGUUAUGGAAUGUUACUGGAUACUGGAUAGUUAGUUCGGCCUGUAGGCGUAUCCUCCUGAACUUACCUCUCAUUGCUGUUAGUUUUGGCACCAAGUUUGUUCCCAAUUGCUAUUUACGGAAGUUAUUGCAUAAAGGGCUGUUUGGUUGUAAUCUUCCCGUAAGAAUAAGAUGCAUGUUUUUGAGUUAGAGGACCAUGCCUGA